UGUGAUAUUCUGGAAGGCAAACUGUGUUUGGAAGGAAGAUUUUGGAAGGAAGUGGUGCAUGAUAAAGUUUCUGAAAUUUUCAAGUCUCUUGGACUUGGUUGUUCCUGCUUUUGGUUCUGCUUAGGACUGGUAGUGAUGAGUUCUCUGCUUUGACAUAUUCUUUUCGGUAUCACUUUGGGAUUGGACAAUGUGGUAUUGCUGAAAGAUUAUAUUGGGAUUCUUUAUAUUUUAGUAUGAUAUCUUUGUUCCAUUUGACAGUGGAGAAAAAGUUGAUCUCCUACUAUUUAUUAUUUCUAGUUAUAACUGAAGAUGAUUAGUUGUUGAUUUGUUAGCUUGCACAAUCUCGUAAAUCUAUUUGGGUAAUAUGUUGAUUUUAUUUUUUUAGGAAUAGUAUUGUGUCUUUUAGUUUUCUGAUUAAUCUGACGUACUAGUCAUGAAUGAGCAGAUGACUUGUUUGUCUUUCUCCCUACUUGAGUUUCAUGUUCUGCUAGUGGUUUAUUCUUAGUUAGUACUGAAUUCAAAUUGCUGGGAUUGAUGCUCUUGCUGAUUGUGUAUUUGUAUCAGUGGCUUCAUUAGCUUGCAAUUACAUGUUUUUGGGUUCACUAAAGUCUUGUUGUUUAUAGUUGAGUUAAUCGCAUGUUUUUGUGUACGGUGGUUCUAGUUUUCAAAGUAAUAAGUAAAUCUUGUUUAUGGAGGAAGGUCCUUACAUGUCUUGAGGUUUGGUAGAAGUACAAGGUUCUUCGGUUUUGUUACUGUGUGUUCUGUUAUGAUCUGUUCAAGAGUCGGACUUAUGAGUAGAAGCGUUUAUUAAAUUCUCUAUGUCUGGGUACUUUUGAUUUCCCGAUUUGUGCGGUGGGAGCACGAAAACUAUAUAUUGGUCUGUUUAAAAUGGUCUGUUUUCUAGGAUAUUGUUUGAAACUGCUCUUCCUCUGUAGUGUUUAAAGUGUUGAUCCUCAUGAACUUGGGUCUCAUUCAUUUUUCAUGUUCCUUAAGGAUUACUCACGUUUCUUGUUUAUGGUUUGACUACAGCUCCAACAUUUAAACUAGCACUGUGAAACCUCUUGGCUUUCAAUUUUGGUGUAUGCAGUUUGUUUUUGUUCGUAGCCUUAUGAUGUUCCCUGAUUGCACACUUUGCAGGUAUUUCAAAGGUCCUGAGAUUCUUGUUGAUUUACAAGAUUAUGACUAUUCUUUGGACUAGUGGAUUCUCGGUUGUAUGCUUGCUGGAAUGGUCCAUGAAGGUGCAUUUGGUUCUAUUGGUGAUGAUCAGUCACUUCUUAAAUACUUGGAAUCUCUGGGACAACAUCAGUAACAAGCAUGUCCGUAAUUGGUCAUCAAAGAGAGGUAGGGCUUUAAAGCAUCAAUUCAAGCUUGGUGAGCAGCUU